rnacentral:rRNA from 1 species
GAUGAACGCUAGCUACAGGCUUAACACAUGCAAGUCGAGGGACCGGCGCACGGGUGAGUAACACGUAUCCAACCUGCCCUUUACUCGGUGAUAGCCUUUCGAAAGCAAGAUUAAUACCCGAUAUAAAGGAUGGGGAUGCGUUCCAUUAGGUUGUUGGUGAGGUAACGGCUCACCAAGCCUUCGAUGGAUAGGGGUUCUGAGAGGAAGUUACACAACAUUGGAACGGAGAACCGGGCCAAACUCCUACGGGAGGCAGCAGUGAGGAAUAUUGGUCAAUGUGCGCUAGCCUGACCCAGCCAAGUAGAGUGAAGGAUGAAGGCUUAUGGGUCGUAAACUUCUUUUAUAUAAGAAUCUGUAUUAUAUGAAUAAGGAUCGGCUAACUCCGUGCCAGCAGCCGCGGUAAUUC